rnacentral:rRNA from 1 species
UCGAGAAUCUUUGGCAAUGGGCGCAAGCCUGACCAAGCGAUGCCGCGUGCGGGAUGAAGGCCUUCGGGUUGUAAACCGCUGUCAGAGGGGAUGAAAUACGGUGGGGGUUCUCCCCCAUGUUUGACAGAUCCUCAGAGGAAGUGUGGGCUAAGUUCGUGCCAGCAGCCGCGGUAAGACGAACCACACAAACGUUAUUCGGAAUUACUGGGCUUAAAGGGUGCGUAGGCGGCUUAGCAAGUUGGGUGUGAAAUACCUCGGCUCAACCGGGGAAUGGCGCUCAAAACUGCUGAGCUGGAGGAAGAUAGAGGUGAGCGGAACUUAAGGUGGAGCGGUGAAAUGCGUUGAUAUCUUAAGGAACACCUGUGGCGAAAGCGGCUCACUGGAUCUUUUCUGACGCUGAGGCACGAAAGCUAGGGUAGCGAACGGGAUUAGAUACCCCCGUAGUCC